rnacentral:lncRNA from 1 species
UAAUAGAAAUUAGUAAAUAAAUAGCAAAAUGUAUCUAACUUGUAACACAUCAUUGCACAUAGUGGAAUAGAAUGAUGACAUACUUGUUGUAUAAUUGAGGUCACAAUGGUUCACAGUGUUAAAAUAGAAAAUCGAAAAAAUGUUUUACUACGACCUGUAAGGUUUUUUUAUUAUAUGCGUCAGUUUUGUAUAGAUACGUUAUAUAUAAUUGAAAUUAAAUCAAACCACGUCAACAAAUUUUUGAAUCCGUAUUUUGUUUUUAAUUAUUUAGAUGAUGAUUUAGAUGAUUAUGCAUUUUAUUUCAGACAAUUCAGAUAAACAUGUAUAUACAAGAUAACCUUUCAGCAAUACGAGAACCAGAAAGACAGACAAUGCAUCAACGCUUCUAUUCGGUUGAUAAAAUGUCUUAUUCAAUUCCAAAACGAAGAACACAGAGAUUAAACAGUUAUCCGUCCAGCGAAACAGAAGUAAAUAACACCAACAGUAGAAAACUUAGCGUUGAC